AACGAACGCUGGUGGCAUGCCUAACACAUGCAAGUCGAACGAGACCUUCGGGUCUAGUGGCGCACGGGUGCGUAACGCGUGGGAACCUGCCCUUAGGUUCUGAAUAACUCCCCGAAAGGGGUGCUAAUACCGGAUAAUGUCUUCGGACCAAAGAUUUAUCGCCUUUGGAUGGGCCCGCGUUGGAUUAGCUAGUUGGUAGGGUAAAAGCCUACCAAGGCGACGAUCCAUAGCUGGUCUGAGAGGAUGAUCAGCCACACUGGGACUGAGACACGGCCCAGACUCCUACGGGAGGCAGCAGUGGGGAAUAUUGGACAAUGGGCGAAAGCCUGAUCCAGCAAUGCCGCGUGAGUGAUGAAGGCCUUAGGGUUGUAAAGCUCUUUUACCCGGGAUGAUAAUGACAGUACCGGGAGAAUAAGCUCCGGCUAACUCCGUG
rnacentral:rRNA from 1 species